ensembl:lncRNA
GAACUGUUAUGGAGUUUUGUUGGCUACAAACUACUACAUAUAAAACAGCUGUGCCCUACACUCAUUUUGUCAUUUACAGAUGCUAAGUGGUUACUAUUAUGGCGUCAAGACUGAAGAUAGAACUGCACAUCAGGAUAAACCAACAUGAAGACCAGAGAGCUGUCUAUAGGAGGAAAAACAAACCAUUUUGAAGCUGAGAAACGAGGAAAAAAUCAGAGCCAUUGCACACACAUUGGGCAACAAUUUAGAAUGUCAUGAAAAAUAUAUAAACCACUAGAUUACUGACAACCAGAUCUCAAACAGGUCGGCCAAGGAAAAGAACAGCAGUUGACAGAAACAUUGUGAGAGCAUUGAAGAAAAGCAUAA